rnacentral:rRNA from 1 species
GACGAACCGUCCAAACGUUAUUCGGAAUUACUGGGCUUAAAGGGUGCGUAGGCGGCGCGGUAAGUUGGGUGUGAAAUCCCUCGGCUCAACCGAGGAAUAGCGCUCGAUACUGCCGUGCUUGAGGGAGACAGAGGUGAGUGGAACUUAGGGUGGAGCGGUGAAAUGCGUUGAUAUCCUAAGGAACACCAGUGGCGAAAGCGACUCACUGGGUCUCUACUGACGCUGAGGCACGAAAGCUAGGGGAGCGAACGGG